rnacentral:lncRNA from 1 species
GCAAUACAUGACAGUUGAGGAGGAUGUACACAGGAAGUACAUUAGGUAUCAGUCUUUGUUGUCUCUGUCCUUUCAGAUACCAUCAGGAUGGAGCUGCUCUCAGUGGCCUCCUCACCAUUACCGAGUGCUGCGCUCCAGUUUAAAACAGGCCUCAGACCUGCCUGACCCUUCACAUCAUGUAUUGCGGUUUAUAAAAGGACUAAGAGAAAAAACUGAAAUGGCCUGAGCCCUGCGACACCCUGCUGAUAACGAGCCCCAGACUGAAGCUCAGCAGGGGCCACGAAGACGGGGAGGUCUCAGGAGCCCUGCUUUCCUAGCUGCGUUCCCAUGCUGCCCUCAACCAGCCCAACCGGUGAUGCUUAACGAAUGCUUAUGAGGGAAGAAUCAAUAAUUCAGUCCACUCAUGGAGGGGAGUGCAGCGGGGGUGG